GCAUACUGCCGUGAAUACGUUCCCGGGCCUUGUACACACCGCCCGUCACACCAUGAGAGUUGGAAAUACCCGAAGCCUGUGAGCUAACAGUAAUGAGGCAGCAGUCGAAGGUAGAGCCAAUGAUUGGGGUGAAGUCGUAACAAGGUAGC
rnacentral:rRNA from 1 species